rnacentral:rRNA from 1 species
CUACGGGGCGCUGCAGUGGGGAAUUUUGCGCAAUGGGGGAAACCCUGACGCAGCAAUACCGCGUGAGUGAAGAAGGCCUUUGGGUCGUAAAGCUCUUUUCUUGGGGAAGAUAGUGACGGUACCCAAGGAAUAAGCACCGGCGUAACUCCGUGCCAGCAGCCGCGGUAAUACGGGAGGGUGCAAGCGUUGUUCGGAUUUACUGGGCGUAAAGGGCACGUAGGCGGCACAGCAAGUUAAGGGUGAAAUCCCGGGGCUCAACUCCGGAACUGCUCUUAAAACUGCUGAGCUAGAGAUAGUCAGAGGCGGGUGGAAUUCCAGGUGUAGAGGUGAAAUUCGUAGAUAUCUGGAGGAACACCGGUGGCGAAGGCGGCCCGCUGGGGCUAUUCUGACGCUAAGGUGCGAAAGCGUGGGGAGCAAACGGGAUUAGAUACCCCUGUAGUC